UUUAUAUCAUUGUUAGCAAGCACGCAACUUCCUGCAUCUGGAAUAACAGAAAAUUCUAAUGAAGGAUGUACAAAUGCUCCUUUAGAUUUCACCCAUGAAACCUCUGACUCUAUAUUUUGUUUAUUACUCAUCUGGAAAUAGACCCAACAACUUAAUGACCUCGUUUUUGUUGUAGUUGAAGCGUGUAUCGUUCUAGAGUAUACACCAAUUUUUGACGCUUCGCAAUAAUUGCUUUCAAUUGUUCUGAACUCUCCGUGGUUACUGAAAAGGCGCUGGUGGCAGGUCGAUUUUUUAGCAUAUCCAACCGAGCUUCCUGAAGCUCGUAUUUUGUUUUAAGCGAAUCCUCUUGUCUCUGUAAGCUUGAAAUAGAGUCUUCCAAUCGUUGAAAUGCCUUUGACAAAAUGGGUUUCACUAUUUCUUCGAAUUUAGCUUGGCGUGCGCUGAGUUCGUCUUCAGAAAUAAGAUUAAAAUGUCUUUGAACCUUUAAAAUAUGCUUAAUCCGGGGAAAGUCGUGAAUUCCCGACUCUAGUGUAUCGAUGCUUGAUGAAAGCUACCAUCACGUUAACAACGACAAAAUUUGUGCGUCCUCAGCUACUUACUGUUCCAAUACUAAUUUGUAAAGAAUCAACGCAUUGCUGCAAUCUAAUAAUCAUUAGUAACAGAUAAUGGUAACAUUGUUUACCCAUCCAAAUACGACAUAUGUAUCGUUUGGGUAGUUGGUAAAUAAAGCACCAACUCGUGCUGAAGUACAACCAAAUUGAUGCAACGUUAGCUAAUAUUGAUUUAUUGUAUUUAUAAAUUUAUGAAGAAAAAAAGCACAAGUAUGAAGUUUUUUUUUGCUAUCUCAUUGAUUUGCUUGGUUCUGUUAUUAUGCGAUAUUCAGCAUUGAAGGAAAUGAAUACCAAAAGGGGUAAAAAAAUAUCGUAAAAGAAGAUAUUAUUUUUGAGGUAAAUAUUCGAUCAAUAAAUUAUGCAAUUGUUUAAUAAGUUUUAAAACAAACACCUGUGUAAACUACACAAUCCUUCGGACAAAGUAUAAUGGUAUGGUCAACUUGAUUGAUGCUUUAUUUAAUAAUAAAAUCUAACUACUCUUCUUCAACAUUAAUGAUAGACGACUGUAAACUAAACAAACUCUUUACAAAGCCAAAGGCCGU